AUCCUUGUAGCGCAAUGAAUAGCACGUUGAACUUCUAAUCCAACGGUCGUGGGUUCGAAUCCCACCUGGAAUG
rnacentral:tRNA from 1 species